AGGGAAUCUUCCACAAUGGACGCAAGUCUGAUGGAGCAACGCCGCGUGAGUGAAGAAGGCUUUCGGGUCGUAAAACUCUGUUAUUGAAGAAGAACGUGUGUGACAGUAACUGGUCAUGCAGUGACGGUAUUCAAUCAGAAAGUCACGGCUAACUACGUGCCAGCAGCCGCGGUAAUACGUAGGUGGCAAGCGUUGUCCGGAUUUAUUGGGCGUAAAGCGAGUGCAGGCGGUCUUUAAGU
rnacentral:rRNA from 1 species